rnacentral:rRNA from 1 species
GUUGUUAGUAAUAUAAAUUAUGAAGCAAAAAAUUAUGGCGGUAUUUUAAGCUUUUCAGAGGAAUUUGCUCUUUAAUGGAUAAAACACCUAAAUCUUACUUGAAUUUGUUAAAUCAAUUUGUAUACCACUAUAAAAACAAUUAAUAACUCUAAUUGUUUAAAUUUAUUAAAUUAAAUUAUGUUAAGUCAAGGUGCAGUAAAAAUUUAAGAAUGAAGUGAAUUACAUUUCUUUUUAGAGAUAAAAGAUUAAAUUUAUAAAUAGGAUUUGAAAGUAAAAUUAAAAUAGAAUGUUAAUUUGAAUAAAGCUCUAAAAUAUGUAC